GCGAUGUUAUUGUUCAGCUCUAUGUGCGGGAAAUGAGUUAUUGUUAAUAAACUUAGUUAUAUGAUUAGUGUUAACUUUACGAAGACAAGAAAGCCUUAAAGUAUCUGAUUUAUGCUUAAUUGUCAAAUAGUUUGUAACAGUUAGGCUUAAAUUUAAGAGUCAUUUGUAUAACUUAAGAACAAUACAUUAAUUUAUACAGUUAACCUUAUCUUUUUCAAUUUCAGUGAGCCAUAGAUUAACGGUCGUAAUGUCACGACAGUUAGUGAAGUACAUCGAUACAAUGAUAGGGCUAUACAGUAUACUCUACAAAAAAUAAUGCCAUUUUAAGAGUGCUCUACAUACAUUAAAGUUUAAAUGUUUACGAUAUCUCCUUAUUGAGGGAAAACAAUAGCAGUAGUACAAGAGAUUCAUCCACAGAUCAUGUCGACCUUCCUCCAUCUUAUCAGGAAAGUGUCUCUGU